rnacentral:rRNA from 1 species
GAUGAACGCUAGCGGCAGGCCUAAUACAUGCAAGUCGAGGGGUAGAAGAGGCUUGCUUCUUUGAGACCGGCGCACGGGUGCGUAACGCGUAUGCAACCUACCUUCAUCUGGGGGAUAGCCAGGAGAAAUCCGGAUUAACACCGCAUAAAACCACAUGACGGCAUUGUCCAAUGGAAAAACAUUCAUGGGAUGGAGAUGGGAAUGCGUGCGAUUAGCUGGUGGGCGGGGUAACGGCCCACCAAGGCGACGAUGGCUAGGGGAUCUGAGAGGAUGGCCCCACACACUGGUACUGAGACACGGACCAGACUCCUACGGGGGGCAGCAGUAAGGAAUAUUGGUCAAUGGAGGCAACUCCGAACCAGCCAUGCCGCGUGCAGGAAGACGGCCCUCCGGGUUGUAAACUGCUUUUAUCCGGGAAUAAACCUGCUUACGUGUAAGCAGCUGAAUGUACCGGAGGAAUAAGGAUCGGCUAACUCCGUGCCAGCCGCCGCUGUAACAC